rnacentral:lncRNA from 1 species
UCGUAUUUGACUUUAGGUACAAUCCGACAAGCGAGAGCUGGCGGGUGACCUUAAUCGCGGGUGCCACAAAUGCGUGGUUGCCGUAUCAAAAAUUUAGUUGGGAUCUGAAAAU